UACGGAGGGGGCUAGCGUUGUUCGGAAUUACUGGGCGUAAAGCGCACGUAGGCGGCUUUGUAAGUUAGAGGUGAAAGCCCGGGGCUCAACUCCGGAAUUGCCUUUAAGACUGCAUCGCUAGAAUUGUGGAGAGGUAAGUGGAAUUCCGAGUGUAGAGGUGAAAUGCGUAGAUAUUAGGAGGAACACCAGUGACGAAGGCGACUUACUGGACAGAUACUGACGCUGAGGCGCGAAAGCGUGGGGAGCAAACAGG
rnacentral:rRNA from 1 species